rnacentral:rRNA from 1 species
GCGGAGGAAAAGAAACUAACAAGGAUUCCCCUAGUAACGGCGAGUGAAGAGGGAAAAGCCCAAGAUUGAAAGCUGGCGUCUUCGACGUCCGCAUUGUAAUCUCAAGAAGUGUUUUCCGCUUCGGACCAAGCCUAAGUCUCCUGGAAAGGAGCAUCGUAGAGGGUGAAAAUCCCGUACAUGGUUUGGAGCGCCCGAAGCUUUGUGAUACACUUUCUACGAGUCGAGUUGUUUGGGAAUGCAGCUCAAAAUGGGUGGUAAAUGCCAUCUAAGGCUAAAUAUUGGGGAGAGACCGAUAGCGAACAAGUACAGUGAUGGAAAGAUGAAAAGAACUUUGAAAAGAGAGUUAAAAAGUACGUGAAAUUGCCAAAAGGGAAGGGUAGGAGGUCAGAGAUGCGGUCUGGGAUUCAGCCUUGCUUUUGCUUGGUGUAUUUCCCAGUUUGCAGGCCAACGUCGGUUUUGGACACUGGAGAAGGGUAAGAGGAAUGUGGCACUCUUCGGAGUGUGUUAUAGCCUCUUACUGGAUGCAGCGACCGAGACCGAGGAACGCAGCGUACUCGAAAGAGCGGGCCUUCGGGCACCUUACG